CUUGCUAAAUAAAACGUUCUCUGGAGACGUAAUUGUAUGUUGUAUUUCAGUUACGCGAAAUUGUCUUGCUCUAACGUUAGAUCAGGAACGCCGCAGUACGACCAUCUGUGUAGGCCGUAAGUUAGUUCGUUCGCAUGACUUUUGGGGCUGAAGAGCACUAACUUGCGUCGUUUUGAGUGAUGAAAAAUGUGUUGGUAGGGACAUCUGAGUAAUAAUGAUGAAACGCCAACCUUUCUGACAUCCCACGGCGCAAGUAGCGAUGUUAAAAUGGCGCCCGGUUAGCGACGCUGGGUGACCAGCCAGGCGUGCUACGUCACGUUUCUUGGGCCCCAAAUUGCAGUUUAUGGUGCCAGGUGGGGAAAAGUGCACUCUUGGAAACGUUAUGGAGCAUGAUUUUCUGCGCGACCCCCUCGGCCACGUGACUUGCAAUGGACGCUGGCCCGGCUGUUCGGGUUCGGCUGGCGUCUGCUGCACCUGUCUGAAUUGCCGGCGUUUUCGGCUGCGUGUCUGAUGCUGCUGUUGAAGAUGUCAAAGGUCCUCCCUCCCCCAGUGUUUGCAGCAGACAAUCGGAGUGCAGACUGCGCUGUUGGGAGGACUGCAGCUGCCCGCUGAUGUCAAUCAAAGGUUUCGGCUGGAAGGUGUGCUCAUGGAUGAAGUGGGCCUUGGUGUGGUGCUGACCAGCUUGGCCUUAUCUGUACGCCAAUCAGGGCCCUGGGAGGCAUGAGUGCAGAACGGUUUCGGCUGGGAGGCGUGCUCAUGGGUGAUGUGGGCCCGGUGCGACUUGGUGUGGCGCUGACCCGCUUGGCCUGGUCCGUUCGCCAAUCGGGGCCCUGGGAGGCAUGAGCACAGCACGGUCUGCAAUUACAGGUGGGACUGGCUGGUGUGAGCAGCAAGUCUUUGUGCCUUGUCCAUCCUGUACCGUCCAUUCCUCAAUGUGAAUAAAAAUCAUUUUAAACA